GGUUAAGCGACUAAGCGUACACGGUGGAUGCCCUGGCAGUCAGAGGCGAUGAAGGACGUGCUAAUCUGCGAAAAGCGUCGGUAAGGUGAUAUGAACCGUUAUAACCGGCGAUGUCCGAAUGGGGAAACCCAGUGUGAUUCGUCACACUAUCGUUAACUGAAUACAUAGGUUAACGAGGCGAACCGGGGGAACUGAAACAUCUAAGUACCCCGAGGAAAAGAAAUCAACCGAGAUUCCCCCAGUAGCGGCGAGCGAACGGGGAGCAGCCCAGAGUCUGAAUCAGCUUGUGUGUUAGUGGAACGGUCUGGAAAGUCCGACGGUACAGGGUGAUAGUCCCGUACACCAAAAUGCACAGGCUGUGAACUCGAAGAGUAGGGCGGGACACGUGGUAUCCUGUCUGAAUAUGGGGGGACCAUCCUCCAAGGCUAAAUACUCCUGACUGACCGAUAGUGAACCAGUACCGUGAGGGAAAGGCGAAAAGAACCCCGGCGAGGGGAGUGAAAAAGAACCUGAAACCGUGUACGUACAAGCAGUGGGAGCACCUUCGGGUGUGACUGCGUACCUUUUGUAUAAUGGGUCAGCGACUUAUAUUCUGUAGCAAGGUUAACCGUAUAGGGGAGCCGCAGGGAAACCGAGUCUUAACUGGGCGUUAAGUUGCAGGGUAUAGACCCGAAACCCGGUGAUCUAGCCAUGGGCAGGUUGAAGGUUGGGUAACACUAACUGGAGGACCGAACCGACUAAUGUUGAAAAAUUAGCGGAUGACUUGUGGCUGGGGGUGAAAGGCCAAUCAAACCGGGAGAUAGCUGGUUCUCCCCGAAAGCUAUUUAGGUAGCGCCUCGUGAACUCAUCUUCGGGGGUAGAGCACUGUUUCGGCUAGGGGGUCAUCCCGACUUACCAACCCGAUGCAAACUACGAAUACCGAAGAAUGUUAUCACGGGAGACACACGGCGGGUGCUAACGUCCGUCGUGAAGAGGGAAACAACCCAGACCGCCAGCUAAGGUCCCAAAGUCAUGGUUAAGUGGGAAACGAUGUGGGAAGGCACAGACAGCCAGGAUGUUGGCUUAGAAGCAGCCAUCAUUUAAAGAAAGCGUAAUAGCUCACUGGUCGAGUCGGCCUGCGCGGAAGAUGUAACGGGGCUAAACCAUGCACCGAAGCUGCGGCAGCGACACUAUGUGUUGUUGGGUAGGGGAGCGUUCUGUAAGCCUGCGAAGGUGUGCUGUGAGGCAUGCUGGAGGUAUCAGAAGUGCGAAUGCUGACAUAAGUAACGAUAAAGCGGGUGAAAAGCCCGCUCGCCGGAAGACCAAGGGUUCCUGUCCAACGUUAAUCGGGGCAGGGUGAGUCGACCCCUAAGGCGAGGCCGAAAGGCGUAGUCGAUGGGAAACAGGUUAAUAUUCCUGUACUUGGUGUUACUGCGAAGGGGGGACGGAGAAGGCUAUGUUAGCCGGGCGACGGUUGUCCCGGUUUAAGCAUGUAGGCUGGUUAUCCAGGCAAAUCCGGAUAAUCAAGGCUGAGGUGUGAUGACGAGGCACUACGGUGCUGAAGUAACAAAUGCCCUGCUUCCAGGAAAAGCCUCUAAGCAUCAGGUAACAUCAAAUCGUACCCCAAACCGACACAGGUGGUCAGGUAGAGAAUACCAAGGCGCUUGAGAGAACUCGGGUGAAGGAACUAGGCAAAAUGGUGCCGUAACUUCGGGAGAAGGCACGCUGGUGUGUAGGUGAAGCCCCUGCGGGUGGAGCUGAGACCAGUCGAAGAUACCAGCUGGCUGCAACUGUUUAUUAAAAACACAGCACUGUGCAAACACGAAAGUGGACGUAUACGGUGUGACGCCUGCCCGGUGCCGGAAGGUUAAUUGAUGGGGUUAUCCGUAAGGAGAAGCUCUUGAUCGAAGCCCCGGUAAACGGCGGCCGUAACUAUAACGGUCCUAAGGUAGCGAAAUUCCUUGUCGGGUAAGUUCCGACCUGCACGAAUGGCGUAAUGAUGGCCAGGCUGUCUCCACCCGAGACUCAGUGAAAUUGAACUCGCUGUGAAGAUGCAGUGUACCCGCGGCAAGACGGAAAGACCCCGUGAACCUUUACUAUAGCUUGACACUGAACAUUGAGCCUUGAUGUGUAGGAUAGGUGGGAGGCUUUGAAGCGUGGACGCCAGUCUGCGUGGAGCCAACCUUGAAAUACCACCCUUUAAUGUUUGAUGUUCUAACGUUGGCCCCUUACCGGGGUUGCGGACAGUGUCUGGUGGGUAGUUUGACUGGGGCGGUCUCCUCCCAAAGCGUAACGGAGGAGCACGAAGGUUAGCUAAUCCUGGUCGGACAUCAGGAGGUUAGUGCAAUGGCAUAAGCUAGCUUGACUGCGAGCGUGACGGCGCGAGCAGGUGCGAAAGCAGGUCAUAGUGAUCCGGUGGUUCUGAAUGGAAGGGCCAUCGCUCAACGGAUAAAAGGUACUCCGGGGAUAACAGGCUGAUACCGCCCAAGAGUUCAUAUCGACGGCGGUGUUUGGCACCUCGAUGUCGGCUCAUCACAUCCUGGGGCUGAAGUAGGUCCCAAGGGUAUGGCUGUUCGCCAUUUAAAGUGGUACGCGAGCUGGGUUUAGAACGUCGUGAGACAGUUCGGUCCCUAUCUGCCGUGGGCGCUGGAGAAUUGAGGGGGGCUGCUCCUAGUACGAGAGGACCGGAGUGGACGCAUCACUGGUGUUCGGGUUGUCAUGCCAAUGGCACUGCCCGGUAGCUAAAUGCGGAAGAGAUAAGUGCUGAAAGCAUCUAAGCACGAAACUUGCCCCGAGAUGAGUUCUCCCUGAGACUUUAAGUCUCCUGAAGGAACGUUAAAGACGAUGACGUUGAUAGGCCGGGUGUGUAAGCGCAGCGAUGCGUUGAGCUAACCGGUACUAAUGAACCGUGAGGCUUAACCUUAC
rnacentral:rRNA from 1 species